CACUCCUACGGGAGGCAGCAGUGGGGAAUUUUGGACAAUGGGCGAAAGCCUGAUCCAGCAAUGCCGCGUGUGUGAAGAAGGCCUUCGGGUUGUAAAGCACUUUUGUCCGGAAAGAAAUCCUUGGCUCUGAUACAGUCGGGGGAUGACGGUACCGGAAGAAUAAGCACCGGCUAACUACGUGCCAGCAGCCGCGGUAAUACGUAGGGUGCGAGCGUUAAUCGGAAUUACUGGGCGUAAAGCGUGCGCAGGCGGUUUGCUAAGACCGAUGUGAAAUCCCCGGGCUCAACCUGGGAACUGCAUUGGUGACUGGCAGGCUAGAGUAUGGCAGAGGGGGGUAGAAUUCCACGUGUAGCAGUGAAAUGCGUAGAGAUGUGGAGGAAUACCGAUGGCGAAGGCAGCCCCCUGGGCCAAUACUGACGCUCAUGCACGAAAGCGUGGGGAGCAAACAGGAUUAGAUACCCGUGUAGUCCCAUG
rnacentral:rRNA from 1 species